rnacentral:rRNA from 1 species
UUUUUCAUUAUUAUUUUUGCUGCACGCGAGAAACAUGACGCACGUGCGCGGUAAAUAUUGAAGGCACGUGCGGGGUAAAUAUUAAAUGCGGUUUCUUAUUUCUGACGUUUUGCGGUGAGUUGCAGCUUGCGGAUCGAUAUUGACGCAUGUUGGCGCGGCGUUAUGGUGGGAGAGGCACCACUUUCGAGAAGCGUUCAACGUCGUGUGAAAACUCGUGGCAAUGUGGGGACGGAGAUGGAGGGGUGAAAACCGUGGGAAACGUGGGAACGAUUGUCGAGGUGGAGAUAAAGUAGUAUGGUGAAGUAUACAAUGGUGGCAAGGAAUGGACGGGAUCCCAUCAGAACUCCGAAGUUAAGCGUGCUUGGGCGAGAGUAGUACUAGGAUAGGUGACCUCCUGGGAAGUCCUCGUGUUGCAUUCCC